rnacentral:rRNA from 1 species
UACGGGGGGGGUAAGCGUUGUUCGGAAUUACUGGGCGUAAAGGGCUCGUAGGCGGCCAACUAAGUCGGACGUGAAAUCCCUCAGCUUAACUGGGGAACUGCGUCCGAUACUGGAUGGCUUGGAUUUGGGAGAGGGAUGCGGAAUUCCAGGUGUAGCGGUGAAAUGCGCAGAUAUCAGGAGGAACACCGGUGGCGAAGGCGGAUCUCUGGGCCUUACCUGACGCUGAGGCGCGAAAGCCAGGGGAGCAAACGGG